rnacentral:rRNA from 1 species
GACGAACGCUGGCGGCGUGCCUAACACAUGCAAGUCGAACGGAAAGGCCCUGCUUUUGUGGGGUGCUCGAGUGGCGAACGGGUGAGUAACACGUGAGUAACCUGCCCUUGUCUUUGGGAUAACUUCAGGAAACUGGGGCUAAUACCGGAUAGGAGCUCCUGCUGCAUGGUGGGGGUUGGAAAGUUUCGGCGGUUGGGGAUGGACUCGCGGCUUAUCAGCUUGUUGGUGGGGUAGUGGCUUACCAAGGCUUUGACGGGUAGCCGGCCUGAGAGGGUGACCGGCCACAUUGGGACUGAGAUACGGCACAGACUCCUACGGGAGGCAGCAGUGGGGAAUAUUGCACAAUGGGCGGAAGCCUGAUGCAGCAACGCAGCGUGCGGGAUGACGGCCUUCGGGUUGUAAACCGCUUUCGCCUGUGACGAAGCGUGAGUGACGGUAAUGGGUAAAGAAGCACCGGCUAACUACGUG